rnacentral:rRNA from 1 species
UACGGAGGGUGCAAGCAUUAAUCGGAAUUAUUGGGCGUAAAGGGCGCGUAGGCGGAAGAGUAUGUCAAAUGUGAAAUCCCAAGGCUCAACCUUGGACCUGCAUUUGAAACUGCUUUUCUGGAGGGUAGGCGGAGAAAACGGAAUUCCACGUGUAGCGGUGAAAUGCGUAGAUAUCGGGAGGAACACCUGUGGCGAAAGCGGCGCACUGGACCAUUACUGACGCUGAUGCACGAAAGCUAGGGGAGCAAACAGG